AACAAGCCUAUUUCUCUGAGGUCGUUACUAAGAGAAUUUUAAUUAACUAGGCUUCAGAAUACUGCUAAGGACGUUUAACCUCCUAGUAGUCAAAUUCCAGGCACUCUCUUGGCACCAGAUGGUCACUCGGGCACUCUCUUAGGCAGUCAGGCUCUCUAGACUCUGAGAUAAGGACGAUAUUGCUAAACCUCUCAGUAGGCACGUUUUAGACAUUCUUCAGGCAUUUAGGCACCUUCUACCCACUCAGUCACUCUUGGCACUCUUUACGGACUCAGUCACUGUAUUAAGGCACUCUGGAACUCUCUAGCCAUUCUUAAUAUUGCUAUUGAAAUUAAACUUCUCAUUGGACUCAGGCACUGUUUAGCUACUCAGGCACUCUAUAUGCAAUCAGGUACUCACUAACAACCCCUUCAUCACCCCCAGGCACCCAGCAGGCACACAUCAGGCACUCGAGGAAGACGCCAGGCACUCCACGGUACAGGCACGCGGGGAGCCUGUCUGGGGGCCAUGACAAGGCAAAUGGCCCCGCGCGGAGACCCAACGGCCCCAUAAACCUCGUGUGGCAGCCGGUUGAGGCCGGAUAAUGGGCGCCCCGGAUGAUGGGACCCGGCUAAGGCGCCCUUCAUUAUGGGGUGUUCGGGGUGAAGGGAGUGAAGGGGGGGGGGGUGAGGGAGGGGGAGGUAGUGAUGUGUGUGUGGGGGGGGGGUGAGGUGUCGACGGAGGUCAGUUUUGAGUGUGUGUGUGUGUCAGUAAAUCUUCGUGUCCGGAUAACUGAAUGUGAACGCCUGUAUUAGUCCGGAUAACUGAAUGUGGAUGUCUGUUGGAAGUUCGGAUAACUGAGUGUGGGUGUCUGUAUUGAUCCGGAUAACUGUGUGUGGGUGUCUGUAUUAAGUUCGGAUAACUGAGUGUGGAUGUCUGUUGGAAGUCCGGAUAACUGAGUGUGGAUGUCUGUAUUAGUCCGGAUAACUGAGUGUGGGUGUCUGUAUUAAGUCCGGAUAACUGAGUGUGGAUGUCCGUAUUAGUCCGGAUAACUGAGUGUGGAUGUCUUUAUUAAGUCCGGAUAACUGAGUGUGGAUGUCUGUAUUAAGUCCGGAUAACUGAGUGUGGAGGUCUUUAUUAAGUCCGGAUAACUGAAUGUGAACGUCUGAAUUAGUCCGGAUAACUGAGUGUGGAUGUCUGUAUUAAGUCCGGAUAACUGAGUGUGGAUGUCUGUAUUAGUCCGGAUAACUGAGUGUGAACGUCUGAAUUAGUCCGGAUAACUGAGUGUGGAUGUCUGUUGGAAGUCCGAAUAACUGAAUGUGAACAUCUAAAUUAGUCCGGAUAACUGAGUGUGGAUGUCUGUAUUAGUCCGGAUAACUGAGUGUGGAUGUCUGUAUUAAGUCCGGAUAACCGAAUGUGGACGUCCUUUUAAAGUUCGGUUAACUGAGUGGACACGCAUUGUUACAUCCGGUUAAUCGCGUAUCUUGCAUCCGGCUGCCGUAUACGAGUGAACCAGUGAGUUUGCGUAUAACCGGAUCAUUGCAUACAGAGGUAAAUCCUGAGAGAGAGAGAGAGAGAGAGAGAGAGAGAGAGGCACAGCGCAGGUAACUUUUGGGCGGAUCCGGAUCAGAUUCGGUUGUAGUGAGUCCGUUUGAUAGCCAAUCCGGUUAAGCGAAUACGAAUUGUGUUGAUUCCGGUUGGCAGUGCGACUUGAGAUGGCAGGAAAUGGGUGGAGAGAGAGAGAGAGAGAGAGAGAGAGAGAGAUGAGGACGAGUAGGAAGAGGAGGAGGAGGAAUCAUGUUUUAGCUUGUUCAGUUUUCUUGAUUUUUUUCUUCUAUAUGAUAUCACCCUCGUCUCCUAUUCUCUUAUUAUUAUUACUACUACUACUACUACUACUACUAUAUAUUACAUGUUUUUCUUUCUCCUCUUCUGUUUUCCAUCCUCUCUUUCUCACCCACGCACACCCACACACUCUUACAAUAAUUAUUCCUAUUUUCCCACCUUCUACUUUUCAUUCUUUCUCUCUCUCUUAUUUUUCACCAUAUUCCCUCCCUCCCACCAACCUUCUCUCCAUCCAUCCCACGCACUCUCCCACUCGCUCCCUUUCUCCCACCAACCUUUUCUCUUUCCAUCCCACCCACUCUCUCCUAUUCGCUCCCUUCCUCCUCCCACCAACGCCUUCAAUACGGGAGAAUCACCAUUAUUAUUUACACAUGCAUGGAAAAUGGAGAGGCGAACAGCAAGGUAGUCUUGAAUAUGCAUCUCAUCCAAUGGCGGUAUUCACUGAUAAUGGAGGGGGGAGGAGGAGGAGGAGGAGGAGAGAGGGAAGGCAGGGAGAGAGGAGGAGGAGAAUAAGGGAGAGGAUAUGAGAGAGAGCGAGGCAUCAAGUAUCUUUCCAAUUAUUUUUUUUCUUCCGCAAACUGAGCUUUUAGAGAUAAGAAAGGACGUGGAGGAGGAGGAGGCAGAAGGGAGGGAGGGAGGAAAGGAGAGAAAAUGACGUAGAUAGGUAGCAAAAGGAUGAAGAUAGGUAGAAAGAUGGAAGGAAGGUAGAAGAGGAAGACAAGCAGAAUGAAACACACAAUAAUCGAUAAUACACGAAAUAAAAUCCAGUUUUACCACCAAUCUCAAGUUUCAUAAGCACAUCAAAUUUCCUCGCCCAUCGCCGUUUCCCCGACAUAAUCUUCCUCCCUUUCCUUCCGCUUCCUCACCCACUCGCUCCUUUCAUGACUUUCCUAAGAGUCUUGACACAUCCUCUAUCUUUUCAGGUAUUUUCUUACUUUUCUCAUAUUCCACUGUGGCAAAGAGAGAGGGAGAGAGCGACGGAUAUGAGGUGAAGAAGAGGAGGAGGAGGAAGAGGUGGAAAGCGAGGUAAGGAGAGGAGAAUAUGGAGGCACAAGUGUUGAGAGAGAGAUUCCUGCUUCCUCAAAUCUGGUUAUUCACGCUGCUUUAUUUUCGCUAAGUUGAUUACAUACUCCAUUUACUGUCGCCUCUCUUCAGUAGACUUAUAUCUUGCUUUGUUUUCCUAUCAGACGUAGAAAUACUAUGAUGCGCAUCACUCGAGUAGGCUAUGUAGUGCAAAUUUAUGAAUACUCGCGAAAUGGAUUACCAGAACAUUUCAGAGAGGGUAGCAAGGCUUGUGGGGGGGUGGGGGGUGUAAGCGAGGGGGGAAGGAGUGGGGGUGUAUGGGAAGGGUAAGGUAUGGAGGGGGUGUAAGGGAAGGGGAAGGUAUGGGAAAUGGUUAAGAGGUAAGGUGCAAGAUCAGGGAAGGUAUAUGGUGAGGUUUGAAGGGGAUACAAGAUAGAGGAAGGUAUGGGAGAGGUGUGAUUCGAGAGGUUGGGGAGGGUUGUGGGGAGGUACAGGCCUGGGGGGAAGGUAUGGAGGGAAAAGCGUGCGAGGGAGGGGAUGGGGGAGGGUCAAGGGAGAGGAGGCUAGGGGGGAAAGCAUGGAGGAAGGUGUACAUGGCUUUGGUCACGUAGGCAGCCAUCCCAGCUUGUCGAGAUGAGGAUUUAUGUACUUCAAACUUUGCCCCUAAGCUUCAUGCGAGGUAAAAUAACUGAUAAUAGUGUCCAGUUAAUCAAAAUCUUCGUAUUUCAACUUGUAAUCAUUAUCCUUAUAGCUUUGAAAGGGAUGGAGAGGAUUAGAAUCGAAUCGACUCGAAACAGUGCAUCCGACACCCCACGGCAUCAGAAGAAUAUGGAUAAUAAGAUAAUAAUUUGCACCCUGGCUAUAUACGAGGCUAAAUAACUGAUAACACCAUAAAACACACCAAGAUCUUCGUAUUUCACCAUGCAAUCAUCAACUUAGGAGCAUGAAAAGGGAUGAAGAGGGCGAGAUUCGAAUCAGCUCGACCCCUUGCCUCCGACUCACUUAUCGGUCACCGCCGCUCACCGCUCACUCUCUGGUCACUAGCCAGGGAGGGUCCGCUGGGGGCGGAACGCGUCACGUUGUCUCUUUUUAAUAGUGCUUCCAUCUAUCCCUGACGGUGCUGGAGGAUCUACAGAACCUACACGAGGACUUCAGGCGCCCCUUGACCCUGAGGCCCUUGGAGUAGUAGAAGAAGAAGAAGAAAAGAAGUCCAGAGUCCUCGCAGCAUCCGAAAGAUCGAACGUCCCGAAGAAAAACCGUACGCGCGUUUUUUUUUCCGUGCGCGAGUGUUCUUUUUCCAGUGCGCGAGUGUUUUUGUUUUUUUUUCCGUGCGCGCGUUUUUUUUUUCGUGCGCGUGGCCAGCAACACCCUGCACCUCCACCGCCUCGGAAAAGGUAAGUACACCUGUGAUUUACCUGUUGUAGAAUUAGCACAUCUUUACCUUGAUUUCAGAGUCUCGCACACCUGGUCUUGGAUGAAGGUAGGGAGGUAAGUUUUUUUUUUUUUAUCAAGGAAGGAAAGGAGGGAAAGAAGAAAGAUUAUGGUUGAUGAGAAAGGGAAGGAGAAAGGAAAGAAGCGAAGAGGAGGGAGGAAGGGUGUGAGGGGUGAAGGGAGGAAACGUAAGAGGAAGGAAGGAGGGGAAGAAGUGUGUUUUAGACGUGUUUUAUGCUGCUUAGUGAAUGGAUUUUGGAUGCGAGAGGAAAGAAGAGGUCGGGAGAGGUAAGGGGAGAUAAGGGGUCGGGAGGAAGGGUAAGGGAAGAGGGGUAGAAAAAGGGAGAAGGAGGGGUGGAGAGAUAACAGAAGGGAGAGGAAAGGAAGGGAGGGAAUAACUAAGGGAGAGGAAGGGAAAAGAUGUACCUAGAUGACGAAGGAGGAAAAUUACUGUGGGGAAGAGAAGAAAAGAUGGAAACGAAGGAGGAGAGAGAGGAAGAAAAAAGGAAAGGAAAAUAGAGGAAACGGAAAGAGGGAAGGUACAGAGGCAGGGUAUUAGAAAGAGAAAAGGAGACAAGAAAGAGAGAAAGGAGGGAAAAAAGAGGGAUAAGAAAAGCGAGAAGAGGGAAAAUGAGAGAAAAGAGGGAAAAGAAAAGAUGGAAGAGGGAUAAGAGAAGGGAAGAGGAAGAGGAGGGAUAUAGAGGAAGAAAGGAGGGAAGGAGGAAAGGAAGAAGGGAGGAAAACAAGAAUAUUUAUGUUAACAGGUCGCGGCUUGAGCGCUUUGCAUAUGAGGCGUGAUCUCUCUCUCUCUCUCUCUCUCUCUCUCUCUCUCUCUCUCUCUCUCUCUCUCUGUAAACCGUGUGUGAGCUAAAGUGCGGUUACCUGUUACACACACACACACACACACACACACACACACACACACACACACACAUUUGCCCAACGUUUAACACACAUAAUAAAUUCACGUGAGAGUUAUUAUGCCUAGUAACUUGAGAGAGAGAGAGAGAGAGAGAGAGAGAGAGAGAGAGAGAGAGAGAGAGAGAGAAAUAAGACGAUAAGGGAGGAAAUAGAGGGGAGAUAAAAGAAAAAAAAGAUGAGGGAGGGAGAGGAGUGAAGUAAGAAACUGGAUAAAGGGAAAUAAAAGGAGAUUAGGGGAGGAAAAAAGGGGAGAUAGGAGAAAGGAGAUGAGUGGAGAUGAGGAAGGUAGGAAGGGAGAUAAAGGAAAGAAGAGUAAAGAGAAGUAAAGGUUAAAAAGGGAGAUGAGUGGAGGAGAUGAGUGGAGAUGAGUGAAAGGAGAUGAGGAGGAGGAUGUGAGACUUAGGAAAGGAGAAUAAAUAUAAAGAAAGGUUAGAAAAGAAAAGGGAGACUAAAAAAAGGAGGUAAGGGAAAGGAGAUGAGUGAGUGGAGAUGAGAGGGGGAGAUGAGUGGAGGAUGUGAGUGACGGGAGAUAUCGUAAAGCUUGAAAUAAUUGGCAGCUGAGACAGUAUAAUGUUUUCCUCCUCCACCCCCUCCUCCUCCU